UCAUAUGAGAGAUAUCAGGUAUGUCUUUAUCAAUCUUGGUUUGCGUAUGUUCUUUUGUUAUUAUUAGCUGUACGAAUACACACACUGAGGCAUGUUUUUUUUGUUUAUCACCUAGAGCCUUUCUAGCCAUCCCAUUAUUAUUAUUAUCCAUUGUUUUACCCUGUUGAGCCUGUUAAUCAUUUAUUUUUGAUAUACCCGUUUUUUU
rnacentral:lncRNA from 1 species